UACGUAGGUGGCAAGCGUUGUCCGGAUUUAUUGGGUUUAAAGGGUGCGUAGGCGGCCUAUUAAGUCAGUUCUGAAAUAUCCCGGCUUAACCGGGAGGGUGGGAUUGAUACUGAUGGGCUUGAGUGGAAUCGAGGUAGGCGGAAUUGACGGUGUAGCGGUGAAAUGCUUAGAUAUCGUCAAGAACACCUAUUGCGAAGGCAGCUUACUAAGCUUUAACUGACGCUGAGGCACGAAAGUGUGGGGAUCAAACAGGAUUAGAUACCCUCGUAGUCC
rnacentral:rRNA from 1 species